UACGUAGGUGGCAAGCGUUGUCCGGAAUUAUUGGGCGUAAAGAGCUCGUAGGCGGUCUGUCGCGUCGAUCGUGAAAACUUGGGGCUUAACCCUGAGCUUGCGGUCGAUACGGGCAUGACUGGAGUUCGGCAGGGGAGACUGGAAUUCCUGGUGUAGCGGUGAAAUGCGCAGAUAUCAGGAGGAACACCGGUGGCGAAGGCGGGUCUCUGGGCAGUAACUGACGCUGAGGAGCGAAAGCGUGGGGAGCGAACAGG
rnacentral:rRNA from 1 species